AUUAUGCAUUGUAAUUGGUUAUUGAUUAUUUGUUGAUACAUUAUCAUUAUUGUGUGUAGGUUAUAGACGUGUACGACAACCUAUUGCAAACAUGGAGUCACAAUUCAGUGAAAAUUCUGUACGUGCCUGCAGUGUCUCAAGUGAAAUACACUUUUUGCAAAUGCAAUGCUUUUUUGGUUUCCUUUACUUAGGGAUUUGCAACGAAUGGGAUGCUCAAGAAGUUGAAACCAUGGUUAGAACCAAUUGAGAAGAAGCGCGUGCAGAAAAUCUUCAUACCCAUUAAUGAUCACUAUCACUGGUAACUACUUGUCAUUGAUCUAGUACAGAAGAGGUUUCUCUCGUAUAGCUCUAUCCAUGGGGCAGUCUACAAGGCGUUUGCAGAUAAAAUGCAUCAAAUUUACAAGACGGUUCUCAGCAAUGUUAUUAGUGGCAUUGGUGGGUGGCCUCAUGAACCUGCCAUUUGGGCUCCCUGCUAGGAAGGUGGAGACGAUUGUGGUGUUUUUGUUAUCAAGUAUAUGGAUUGUCUGUCUAGGUCGGCGAUGCUUGAUUUCUCAUCGGUGCAUAUACUCAUUAUUAUGUAUAUGAUCUGAUGUUUAUGUUGUCCAUUAAUCCAAACUCAUGCACAUUUCGGGCGCUUUCAAAUCCAAGAGACGAUUGGAGUAAUUCGAUGGGAGAUCUGUGUUCAACUACUUCAGGGUAAACUAAGCAUCAUCAUCAAAAACCUAAUCAGUAUGGAAUAAAUCCAAUCAGCAAUUACUGAUUUGCCAAGAAGGAGGGAAGAUGAUGAAGGAGAGUAGGCAGAUGUUGGAAUACUUUCGACCUGCAACAAAUUCCAGGGACCAGUCCAAGUUUGUGGGUGAAUCAUUUAUCCUUCAAUAAGUAUGGGUUGAAAGAGGAGCAGUGUUGACAAUCAGAGAAACAACGAAACCAAUGUGAUGUUGCCAAAAGAGCUUGCAAGCCGCUCUACACAUGUCCACCCAUUAAACUGAAUAUAGUUGCAACUGAAGUACAUAGCGUUAAGUAAACAAAAAUUUGAGCAGCUUUACAAAGAAUAAGGAUGUCAAAUGUGUAAACUUCAUAAACAUUCUCGUUUAAGU